rnacentral:lncRNA from 1 species
GAAGUUAGUCAUUGGAGGGGACUUUAAUGGUCAUAUUGGGGCUGAUGCUGGUGGUUAUGGUGAGGUGCACGGUGGCUCCGGCUUUGGGGUUAGGAACGGAGGAGGCACGUCACUGCUUGAUUUCGCCAGGGCUUUCGAGCUUUUGAUUGCGAACUCGGCAUUUCAGAAGAGGGAGGAGCAUUUGGUCACCUUCAAGAGUUCGGCGGCGAGGACUCAGAUUGAUUACCUCCUCCUCAGAAGGAUGAUUGCGAACUCGACAUUUCAGAAGAUGGAGGAGCUUUUGGUCACCUUCAAGAGUUCGGCGGUGAGGACUCAGAUUGAUUACCUCCUAUUCAGAAGGAGCGAUAGAGGUAUGUGCAAGGACUGCAAGGUUAUUCCGG